rnacentral:misc_RNA from 1 species
AACGCACCUUGCGCCACGUGGUAUUCCACGGGGCACGCCUGUUUGAGUGUCACGUUAACCAUCGCGUCGCGAAUGUAACAGUUUGCGGGGCGGAUUUGGGUGUUGCCGUAGUUGGCUCGCCUCGAAAUGCAUUAGCUGUCUAAAGACCGCGCCGUUGGUGUGAUAAUUACUUUGCGCCGCUGGUGUUGGACCGGGUGAUGGCUCAUAAACCGUCUGCAAGGACAAUAUCUUAAUGCCUUGGCCUCAAAUCAGGUGGGACUACCCGCUGAACUUAA